rnacentral:tRNA from 1 species
UAAUAAGAAGUAAAAUUUUACAUUUAGUUUCGACCUAAAAAUUUGGUUAUAACCCUUAUUUU